GCAGUGAAGUGAUUUAUACACAGGACAUGAAGGAAAAGAAGGCAAACAGGAACAGUGGUGCGGAUGCUGAUGUGACUUAUGCUGAGAUUGAAUUUAGUCCAAUGAAAAAAGAAAGGAGAAUGAAAGAAAAAGCCAGUGCAGGUGAUGACACUGUGUACUCAGAUCUGAAGCACAACAUGGAG